rnacentral:rRNA from 1 species
GACGUAGGGCGCAAGCGUUGUCCGGAAUCAUUGGGCGUAAAGAGCUCGUAGGCGGCCGGUUGCGUCUGCUGUGAAAUCCCGGGGCUUAACCCCGGGCGUGCAGUGGAUACGGGCUGGCUGGAGGCAGGCAGGGAGAAUGGAAUUCCCGGUGUAGCGGUGAAAUGCGCAGAUAUCGGGAGGAACACCGGUGGCGAAGGCGGUUCUCUGGGCCUGUGCUGACGCUGAGGAGCGAAAGCGUGGGGAGCGAACAGG